GGGCAGAGGUCGAACAGCAUCCAGUAUGAAGAUACUUUCCUGCCUCCAAUUCCUCUCCCUCUAGCCAGCCUGGGAGAGUGAGCGAGAAAUUGUGUUUUCAUGGAGUGCCCCAACCCCGAUGAGGCCCAGCGCGCUCAUCUCGGUCGUGAGCUUCGCGUGGAGCCCCAGCAUAUCAAACUCUGGUUCAAGAACCGCCGUGCCCAGAUGAGGAGGGCUAGGCACGAGCCGGUGGACAACCACUUAUCUGACUUGGAGAAUGAUGAGAUCGACUCGGAGAAUGACGAGAUCCACUAAGACAACUUCGCGAUGUGGGUUUGUGGAUCGAGGGCUUCCCGUGACUCUGUUCGUUCUAAAUAACGUGCCAUAGAACUGCCUGCAAGCACGCGGUGUGCACUGAGAGUCGGUCUCGACGGCAAGCAUGUUUGCGUCGAGUCCAUGUGUCAGGUUUGGGUCGCUCCCGUUUCUACCGCGUCGUGAACCGAGUCAUGGGAUGGGAUGGCACAUCGGAUCACACGUGAUAAUAGUGGAGCCGUAGAUCA